GAUGAACGCUAGCUACAGGCUUAACACAUGCAAGUCGAGGGGCAGCACAGUGUAGCAAUACACGGGUGGCGACCGGCGCACGGGUGCGUAACGCGUAUCCAACCUUCCCGUUACUCCGGGAUAGCCUUCCGAAAGGGAGAUUAAUACCGGAUGGUGUUUGAAGUCCGCAUGAAAUUCAAACUAAAGAUUUAUCGGUAACGGAUGGGGAUGCGUACCAUUAGAUAGUAGGCGGGGUAACGGCCCACCAAGGCUACGAUGUCUAGGGGUUCUGAGAGGAAGGUCCCCCACACUGGAACUGAGACACGGUCCAGACUCCUACGGGAGGCAGCAGUGAGGAAUAUUGGUCAAUGGUCGGAAGACUGAACCAGCCAAGUAGCGUGAAGGAUGAAGGUUCUAUGGAUUGUAAACUUCUUUUAUACGGGAAUAAAACCACCUACGUGUAGGUGCUUAGUNUGUACCGUAUGAAUAAGCAUCGGCUAACUCCGUG
rnacentral:rRNA from 1 species